rnacentral:lncRNA from 1 species
CGAGGAUAUACUCGUAACCACCUAUAUUUUGGAGGUCAAAGGAUAUAAUGAUAAAAAUUCAUUCACCAGUAGAUUUUAGUGAUAUAUGAAUUCUUUUUUGAACUUUGUCUUACCCUGACUAGAAUAAAGGAAGUAACAAUCUAACCAAGAAACCAAGAAAAUAAAAUAGAGCAGCAGAGCAUUGAAAGACCCAAGAAAUGGCUUCCGAUGAACCACAUAGUAAAUAGUCUCAUCAAGAUUGCUCCCCUCUACAUCUGGAGUCACAUUUUAUGGUUAUUGACUGACUUCAUUCAUAGCUGCAUCACUUGCCUGAGAAAUAGGAACAGAGUACCAUGUAGCACUGGUUUUCCUGAAAGACGAAACCUUCUCUGAAUAGACAAAAUUCAAAUGAGUAAAACAGACUUAUGAGGCAAUUUUAGAUGGAAAAACCAUCUUUCAAUCAAAAAUUCAAUUUGACAGAAUAUGUUCUUUACUCAUUUGGAUGCAAAGGUAAUGCAUCUUGUGAACAAAUUACACCAUUUUGAGACCGAUCAUUUUAGUUUAUAAAUUACAAUCGAUGUAGAGAGAUAAAAAAAAUUUGCUUAAAAGCAAGGUACAGAAAUACAUUAAAAGGGGAGGCUAUUAGAUAAAUAUUUAAAUGUUUUUUCUAAAACGAAUUUUACUUUUAAGCACGAAUUGUACUUUUUUCUAAAACGAAUUGUACUUGUUGUUUGUAAAUUUGUAUCUUGAUUUGGUCAAUAAAACGUAUAUGCAGGUUAAUAUCAUUUGCUGUGGUCAGGCACUGAAUCCCACUUCCACAAUAAAGGAAGUGGCAGAUAUAAGGGCGUCAAAAAAUAUUCCAGUUCCUAUAAAGGCAGCCAAUGAAUGGACUGUAGAGGAGGUAGUGAUUAAGCUACACUCCAUCAUCUGCUACCAGAUUUAAGGCUCGGACUACACUACCAUGUUGUAGUUGAUUCAUGACUUCCAGUUUAUGCUGGUUCUAUCUCUGUUUUCUUUGGAUACAAAACAUCAGCAGAUUCAUCAGAAAUUAAAUGUUUGUGAUUUAAGGGUUUUAUGUUUAAAACCCAAAAAUUCUUUCUUGCAACAAAUAAAUUGCAGUCUAUCCCUGAUAUUUACAAUCAUUCUGCAUAACAAUGAACUGCAGGUGUUAUUUUUGCGCAUAUAAGAGAAUUUUGCUCAAUGACAUGGAUUCAAAUAAAGGAAGUUAUAUGUCCUUUAAUAUAAAUCUUUUUGUUAAAUUCACAUCACUAGCACCAGAGCAGCACUUAGUUUGCACGAAUCAAAAAUAGUAACUUCCUUUUUGUUUAUCUUUUUUAUUGAUCUGAACUCACCUAUUUAGUUUCACUAGUUACAGAAUACUAAAGCUAAAGCUUUGUUAGUCCUAAUUGUUUGAAAAUUAGAAUAUAUUUAAUAUUUUAAUCAACUUUGAUAUUGGAAG